rnacentral:rRNA from 1 species
GAUGAACGCUGGCGGCGUGCUUAACACAUGCAAGUCGAACGAAGCACUUUAUUUGAUUUCCUUCGGGACUGAUUAUUUUGUGACUGAGUGGCGGACGGGUGAGUAACGCGUGGGUAACCUGCCUUGUACAGGGGGAUAACAGUUGGAAACGGCUGCUAAUACCGCAUAAGCGCACAGCAUCGCAUGAUGCAGUGUGAAAAACUCCGGUGGUAUAAGAUGGACCCGCGUUGGAUUAGCUAGUUGGUGAGGUAACGGCCCACCAAGGCGACGAUCCAUAGCCGACCUGAGAGGGUGACCGGCCACAUUGGGACUGAGACACGGCCCAAACUCCUACGGGAGGCAGCAGUGGGGAAUAUUGCACAAUGGGCGAAAGCCUGAUGCAGCGACGCCGCGUGAGCGAAGAAGUAUUUCGGUAUGUAAAGCUCUAUCAGCAGGGAAGAUAAUGACGGUACCUGACUAAGAAGCACCGGCUAAAUGCGUG